AUGUAUGCAGAAUUCAUAGCAUGCUUCGAAGCCACGGGGCAGGCGAUAUGGCUAAAGAAAUUUGUACCCGACUUGAAAGUGGUAGAUUGCAUUCACAAACCACUAAAGAUGUACUGUGAUAACCAGCCCGCAGUAUUCUAUGCUCACAACAACAAGUCGAGUAAUGCUGCCAAAACAAUAGAGAUAAGGUAUUAUGUUGUGAAAGAUAAAAUCCAGGAUCAAACUAUAAGUCUCGAGCAUAUAAGGACAAAGGAUAUGCUUGCGGAUCCGCUAACGAAAGGCUUACCACCCAAUGUGUUCAAGGAACACUUAGCCGGCAUGGGUUUAAGGGAAAGCCUUAUGAUUCCUGGAUAG
rnacentral:rRNA from 1 species